rnacentral:rRNA from 1 species
AUUGAACGCUGGCGGCAGGCCUAACACAUGCAAGUCGAGCGAGCGGCGGACGGGUGAGUAAUGUCUGGGAAACUGCCUGAUGGAGGGGGAUAACUACUGGAAACGGUAGCUAAUACCGCAUACCAUCAGAUGUGCCCAGAUGGGAUUAGCUAGUAGGUGGUGUAAAGGCCUACCUAGGCGACGAUCCCUAGCUGGUCUGAGAGGAUGACCAGCCACACGGGAAAUGAGACACGGGCCAGAAUCCGACGGGAGGCAGCAGUGGGGAAUAUUGCACACUGGGCGCAAGCCUGAUGCAGCCAUGCCGCGUGUGUGAAGAAGGCCUGCGGGUUGUAAAGCACUUUCAGCGGGGAGGCGUUACCCGCAGAAGAAGCACCGGCUAACUCCGUGCCAGCCGCCGCGGUAAUUC